CCUACGGGAGGCUGCAGUAGGGAAUUUUCCACAAUGGACGAAAGUCUGAUGGAGCAACGCCGCGUGAGUGAAGAAGGUUUUCUGCUCGUAAAGCUCUGUUGGUAGGGACGAAAGAUGUAGGUAGUCCCUGGCCUUUAUUUGACGCUAAUUACUUGGAACGUCCCGACUAACUACGUGCCAGCAGCCGCGGUCAUACGUAGGUGGCGAGCGUUGUCCGGAUUUUGUGGGCGGAAAGGGAGUGCAGGCGGGUCAAUAAGUCUGAUGUGAAAGCCUUCGGCUCAACCGGAGAAUUGCAUCAGAAACUGUUGAACUUGAGUGCAGAAGAGGAGAGCGGAAUUCCAUGUGUAGCGGUGGAAUGCGUAGAUAUAUGGAAGAACACCAGUGGCGAAGGCGGCUCGCUGGGCUGCAACUGACGCUGAGGCUCGAAAGCAUGGGUAGCGAACAGGAUUAGAUACCCUGGUAGUC
rnacentral:rRNA from 1 species